UACGGAGGGUGCGAGCGUUGUCCGGAAUCACUGGGCGUAAAGGGCGCGUAGGUGGCGCGGGAAGUCAACGGUGAAAGUUCGGGGCUCAACCCUGAAUCGGCCGUCGAUACUCCCGGGCUCGAGCACUGUAGAGGCAGAUGGAAUUCCGGGUGUAGCGGUGGAAUGCGUAGAGAUCCGGAAGAACACCGGUGGCGAAGGCGGUCCUGCUGGGCAGU
rnacentral:rRNA from 1 species